AGAGUUUGAUCCUGGCUCAGGAUGAACGCUAGCGGGAGGCCUAACACAUGCAAGCCGAGUGGUAUAGUUCCUUCGGGAACUAGAGAGCGGCGUACGGGUGCGUAACACGUGUGCAACCUACCUUUAUCUGGGGGAUAGCCUUUCGAAAGGAAGAUUAAUACCCCAUAAUAUAAUGAUUGGCAUCAAUUAUUAUUGAAAACUCCGGUGGAUAGAGAUGGGCACGCGCAAGAUUAGAUAGUUGGUGAGGUAACGGCUCACCAAGUCAAUGAUCUUUAGGGGGCCUGAGAGGGUGAUCCCCCACACUGGUACUGAGACACGGACCAGACUCCUACGGGAGGCAGCAGUGAGGAAUAUUGGACAAUGGGUGAAAGCCUGAUCCAGCCAUCCCGCGUGAAGGAAGACGGCCCUACGGGUUGUAAACUUCUUUUGUAUAGGAAUAAACCUAGAUACGUGUAUCUAGCUGAAGGUACUAUACGAAUAAGCACCGGCUAACUCCGUGCCAGCAGCCGCGGUAAUACGGAGGGUGCAAGCGUUAUCCGGAUUUAUUGGGUUUAAAGGGUCCGUAGGCGGACCUGUAAGUCAGUGGUGAAAUCUCAUAGCUUAACUAUGAAACUGCCAUUGAUACUGCAGGUCUUGAGUGAAUUUGAGGUAGCUGGAAUAAGUAGUGUAGCGGUGAAAUGCAUAGAUAUUACUUAGAACACCAAUUGCGAAGGCAGGUUACCAAGAUUCAACUGACGCUGAGGGACGAAAGCGUGGGGAGCGAACAGGAUUAGAUACCCUGGUAGUCC
rnacentral:rRNA from 1 species